rnacentral:rRNA from 1 species
CGAAUUCUGUUGAUUACUCUUAAUUCCGUUAAGAACUUAUAUAUUUAAAUGUAUUUUUAUAUAGAAAUAAAGAGAGAAUAAAAAUUAUAAUCGGUUCAGAAUAUAUCUGGUUGAGGUUAAAAAAUUACUAAGUACUUUUUUGGGUUAAUCUCAAAAAAGUAAAAAGAGGUAUUAUAUAAUUGAAAAAUGUUUAAGACGAAAAGUGUCUAAAACUAAAGGGUUUUAUAACUAUAUUUAAAAUGUAUGAUGAUCUUUAUUUUAUUAGUCCUUAUAUAAAUCAGUAUCAUAUAAUGAUGGAAUAAGUAAAUAAAAAUAAUUAUAAGGAACUCAAAAUUUUUACAACUGUUUAUCAAAAACAUUUCCUUUAGAAUAUAUUUAAAGGUAUUGCCUGCCCAAUGUUAAAUUAUUAAUGGCUGCGGUAUCUUAACUGCACUAAGGUAGCAUAAUUAAUUGUCUUUUAAAUGGUGACCUGUUUGAAUGGCUUAAUGAGAAAAAAAAUUUCUUUUAAUUAUAAUAAAAUUAUAUUUCAAGGUUAAAAUACCUGAUUAUAAAAGAAAGACGAGAAGACCCUGUUGAGUUUUACAUUUUAUUUAUAAUGUUAAAAUGGGAAAUUUAGCCUUUUAUUAAGGUUUAUUAGAUCCUGGAAUGAUAUAUCAUUUUGGAUGUAGGAUAAAAUUACCACAGGGAUAACAGGACAAUAUAUGCUAAGAGUUCUAAUCGAAGCAAAUGGUUGUUACCUCGAUGUUGAAUCGAAAUCUCUUUUUGAUGCAGCAGUCAAUAAAGUAGGUCUGUUCGACCUUUUAAAUUUCACG